rnacentral:lncRNA from 1 species
UGAAACUCAAUGUGAGAUUAAUUCAAAUCCAUAUAGAUUGAACCCAUUGUGUCAUAUAAUUUACGGAGAUUUUUUUUUUCUUUUCUCUCCCUCUCUCUGCCAUAUGCAUGGGAUUAACUGCGUCAAUGGAAUACGUCAAUGGAAUAUGAAGUUACAAUCAUUCAUUUAGUUUCCAUCAUCAUCAUCAAUGGAAGGUGAAACUCUUGAUCUUGCGCAUUGAAAACGAAUUGAGGUUUAGUAAUUCGUAUUUCACUUGGCCUAAUUAAUUGUCCUUUGCACGGCUUGUUCUGCAAAGUAUAUUAUAUUGUACUGUACUCAACGAUAUUAAAGAAGAAAAAGAAGUUUUCAACCUUUUUUAUUAUAUACUGGAUUUUGGUCCUUGAAUUAAUGCGAAUAGCUAGAGUAUGCCCAAAGUUUGUAUUCUAUUCCUCGACACAUCGAGAAGAAAUAAAAAUAGAUAUAUUACGGUAGAUUUAAGAAAACAAUCAAUUUACAAAAAAUGAAGAAGAAAGAAAUAUCAGAGUAAAUUAUUAUUAUUAUUAUUGUUCACAGGCAAAAGCACUCCAAUGCAAGGAAGCAGAUAAAGUAGAGACAAGCUCUCCCACUAGAACCAAGUUUUAGAGAUAGGACCUUAUCUCGUGUAAUCCUUCACCCGUCGCAUAUAUUUGUUCAAUUUAUAUCCACAAUUUCUUGAACACUAAUUAAUGGCGUGCUUAG